GCACGAAUGGUCCCGAUUGAAUUUACAGU
rnacentral:sRNA from 1 species